AAAAAAAGAACAAUUAUUUUAGAAAUUAUGAGUAGCUAAUUAUGAAAUAUCUAAAUAAAUAAAGUUGAAUGAAUUAAAAUAAACUUACAGAGUUAUUAGUCACAUACCCAAAGCAAUAUGUAGCAUGUCAUGACUAAUUUAUUAUACAUGAUAAAUAUAUCAAAACUAUGUUAUACUUAUACUCGUUACGUUAAUAUUGUCCAAGA
rnacentral:lncRNA from 1 species